rfam:Cephalotus follicularis DNA, scaffold: scaffold4880, isolate: St1.
AAACCAUGAUGAGGACACUCUAAGAGGAUGUCUUUGAAACGUUCCAUACAUCUACAGAAUGAUUCAUUGGGUCUUUGGCAAAACUGAAAAAUGUCGUUCAUCAUCUU